rnacentral:rRNA from 1 species
AGUGAACGCUGGCGGUAGGCCUAACACAUGCAAGUCGAACGGCAGCACAGUAAGAGCUUGCUCUUACGGGUGGCGAGUGGCGGACGGGUGAGGAAUACAUCGGAAUCUACUUUUUCGUGGGGGAUAACGUAGGGAAACUUACGCUAAUACCGCAUACGACCUACGGGUGAAAGCAGGGGAUCUUCGGACCUUGCGCGAUUGAAUGAGCCGAUGUCGGAUUAGCUAGUUGGCGGGGUAAAGGCCCACCAAGGCGACGAUGCGUAGCUGGUCUGAGAGGAUGAACAGCCACACUGGAACUGAGACACGGUCCAGACUCCUACGGGAGGCAGCAGUGGGGAAUAUUGGACAAUGGGCGCAAGCCUGAUCCAGCCAUACCGCGUGGGUGAAGAAGGCCUUCGGGUUGUAAAGCCCUUUUGUUGGGAAAGAAAAGCAGCAGGUUAAUACCCCGCUGUUCUGACGGUACCCAAAGAAUAAGCACCGGCUAACUUCGUG